GACGAACGCUGGCGGCGUGCUUAACACAUGCAAGUCGAACGGAAAGGCCCUGCUUUUGUGGGGUGCUCGAGUGGCGAACGGGUGAGUAACACGUGAGUAACCUGCCCUUGACUUUGGGAUAACUUCAGGAAACUGGGGCUAAUACCGGAUAGGAGCUCCUGCUGCAUGGUGGGGGUUGGAAAGUUUCGGCGGUUGGGGAUGGACUCGCGGCUUAUCAGCUUAUUGGUGGGGUAGUGGCUUACCAAGGCUUUGACGGGUAGCCGGCCUGAGAGGGUAACCGGCCACAUUGGGACUGAGAUACGGCCCAGACUCCUACGGGAGGCAGCAGUGGGGAAUAUUGCACAAUGGGCGGAAGCCUGAUGCAGCAACGCCGCGUGCGGGAUGACGGCCUUCGGGUUGUAAACCGCUUUCGCCUGUGACGAAGCGUGAGUGACGGUAAUGGGUAAAGAAGCACCGGCUAACUACGUG
rnacentral:rRNA from 1 species